UACAGAGGGUGCGAGCGUUGUUCGGAAUUACUGGGCGUAAAGCGCGCGCAGGCGGCUCUUUAAGUCUGACGGUGAAAUGCCGGGGCUCAACCCCGUGCCCGCCGCGGAUACUGGAGAGCUGGAGACACGUAGAGGCAAGCGGAAUUCCGGGUGUAGCGGUGGAAUGCGUAGAGAUCCGGAAGAACACCGGAGGCGAAGGCGGCUUGCUGGGCGUAGUCUGACGCUGAGGCGCGAAAGCGUGGGGAGCGAACAGG
rnacentral:rRNA from 1 species